rnacentral:tRNA from 1 species
GGGCGUGUAAAUGUAGUGGAUAUCACUUGGGACUGCGACUCCCUCGACCUGGGUUCGACCCCCAGCACGCCCA